UGUGUGUGUGGUGUUUUUUUUUCAGGUGUCUUCUCCUGCUAAAGGUAAACAAAUGGACUCGGCGGCGGUUUGCGGUAAAAACAUGAGAAAUGUGGUCGAACGGCGCGAACUGAAGCGAGUAAAAUGCCCGGAAACAAGAGGAGAUUUAAUGUCCGAUUCCCUCCGAGUCGAAUCAAGAAGAUCAUGCAGAAGGACACCGAGGUCGGGAGGAUCGCGAUGGCGGUUCCUGUGAUCAUCUCUCGGGCCUUGGAAAUGUUCCUGAAGUCUCUGUUGACUAAAACCUGCGUGAUAACUCAGUCCAAGCUCAGCACCGUCAUGUCUGUCGCUCACAUGAAACAGUGCAUCGAGUCAGAGAAGCUCUUCUACUUCCUGAAAGAGCUGACUGAGCGAGCGACGACUACGGCAGCCCAGAGGGACAACAGAGGCAUGAGUAUGUGGCCGCUGUACAGGACCAAACAAUAUGACGUUUCUGUUAAAAAAGCCACUGAUGUGGAUGAAAAGAAGCCGGCACCGAGGAUGAGCCUCGACUCAGUCGACCACGACUCCAGCUCCAGCGUAUGUUCCUGAAAACAUUCUUUGUAGUAAUUAUCAUUCUUUCUUAACAGCUUAGCUAACUUUCUAGGUAGCUUCUUUUUUUCGUAGUAGCUUAGCUAACUUGUUAGGUAGCCAAUGUCGAUCCAUCUUAGUAGCUUUGCUAAUAUGCUAGGUAGUUUUCAUCUUUUUUUCGUUGUAGCCUAGCUAACAUGUCAUAUAGGUUGCUAAUUUCUAUCUUUCUUUCUUCUUCUUCUUAUCAUUAUUAUUAUUAUUUUUUCAUAGAAGCUAAUUAACCUUGCUAGGUAGCUCCUAUCUUUCUUAGUAGCUUGGAAAACAUGCUAGGUAGUUUAUAUAUAGCUUUUUUUAUUGGUAGGUUAGCUAACUUUCUAGGUUGCCUUUCAUUCUUAGUAGCUGACCAACCUUGCUAGGUAGCUUCUAUCUAUCUUUCUCAGUAGCUUUGUCAAGAAUUCUAGGUAAUGCUUCUGUCUUUCUUUCUUAGUAGCUUUGCCAACAUGCUCGACAGUGUCUGUCCGUCUUGUCUGUCAGUCAGUUAAGACAUUUUCAAAUCACAAAGAGCUUUGUUUCCGGUUUCACAGUUUUAGCACAAUGGCACUCUGGGUGUUGGUGGUGACCUCUACAGGCUGAAAUGUUUAUUACACUCCAGAAAAGAGUCGGAGCUCUACAUCUGUUUAUGAAACCAGAG